rnacentral:misc_RNA from 1 species
AUUCAAUCAAUUUCCAUAACAGAAAAAGAUUUGCUUCCUGUUUUAUAAUCUAUCUUUCUGAUGAAAAAGCUUGCGUGGGCCAAUUUCAAGUCUCCCUUUUCCAGGGCAGGCGGAUCACGAGAUGAAUGUGCUCAAGGCUUAAGCAACAAGUUAAACGUGAAUGAAGAGUACAAGAAAGCUUUCAGGACAGAGUCUUACGUAGAAAUGUGGAGCAAAAUUCAGGGCCAACUGAGAAGAAAAUCCGUUGAUGGAAUUGAUAGACUCUCCUCCUCUUCAUCUCUUCCUUUCUCUGUCCAUCUCUCUGAUCAUCUCUUUGAACCAGAGAAGCAACAAACCUUAACGGAAAUGGUACAAAGCAUGAAGUUCCACCGCCUUCUGAUAGAAUAUUUUGAAGCCAGCUUGGAAGCAUGUAAUCUUUGUGAUUCGCUGCUCCGAAGCAUCCAUCAAACGCGUGCUAAUUAUCGCAGAAUUGAAAGGGUAAUCAAGUUAAGUAAAAGGGUGCACAAUUCUGCAGAUUACACAGAAAAAAUUUCUGGGGGUAUAUUUGGAGAGCUUGCUGCAUAUGCAUUGCUCAGAAAUCCUUUAUCAUUUGUUAGCCCACUACAAUUCCGCGAUGUUCAUGAUAACAACCUGGUAUUGCUCCACAGGUUGACUUCAGAUCUGAGAAAGAUUAGAAGGAAAGCAAAGUUUAAUAGAAUUUGCAAGAAGAUUGGGGGAUAUUGCCUAGUGAUUUCACAUACUGCACUUUUAAUUGCAUUGCUAGUAAUUGCACUUCAUGGUAUAGUUGUUAUUGUAGCGGCACCAGCACUUGUGGGUUGCUCAAAGUGUUUGUUCAGAAAGAAAAUCAAGUUACUUCAUGGAGUGUUCAAGACAAGUUCGCUUGAAAAACUCUGUGCACAGCUUGAUGUUGCAGCCAAAGGAACCUACAUAUUGAUCAAUGAUUUUGAUACCGUAAGUAGGUUAGUUAGGAGUUUAUGUGACGAGCUAGAACACAAGAAAGCUCUUGCUGAUAUGUGUGCUAGGAGUAAAAAUACUGAGCUGUUGAAAGAAGUUGUGAAAGAGUUUUACAUGCAUGAUUCUUACUAUCAGGAGCAGCUGGAUGAGCUUGAAGAACAUAUUUACCUCUGUUUUCAUACCAUAAACAGAUCCAGAAGGCUUGUUAUACAAGAGAUAAUGGUUGCACAACAAUAAUGCUGUUGAUAAUCAUAUAUCUUUUCUUUCAGAAAAAAACAAAUUCUUGGGAAGAUUAGACAAUAAUGGGCGUGGUAACCUUCCAGGCAGGGAAAGCUUUGCCUUGGUGGGCGGCUUAGCGCUUAGCCUGAGUGGGUUCUUACAGAAACCAACAUUGCAUUUGUACAUAAAAUAUCAGCCCUGG